GGUGCGGCAUACAAAUGAACUUGGCCACUGUGCGCCCCGCUGGGCAGGGCGGAUUUGGAACAUUUGGGCACAUCUGCGGGUCUUGAGGGGGGGAUGCUGCUGAAGGAAGCAGGAUAUGGCCCACGAGAGCGGCGGGGGCCUAGAGAUGGGCACGAACCUCCCUUUAGGGGAGAGAGAGCUGCGCAUCCCCUUCUCCCCACUUCCAUUUGCAGCCUGUGCCUGCCUGCGUGGGAGAAGCGUCUAUCUAUAGCGUGCUAUUUUUAGCUCCAUCAGCUGAAGAACCUGACAGCCAGUUAAUGACUGGGACCCAUCGGCGUGUCUGCCAGGCUGUGGAAUGCGCACGCCGGGAGCAGAUGUGCUGAGAGGCUCAAGUGUCAAUAGCCACAUGGGGCUAGGAGCUGCCGUACUGGAUGGAGCAGCUCUAGAGGACUGGCAGCGCCUUUUAAUCUACAGGGAGCUUUCGAAGAUGAUAACGCCGUGAUGUGUUCCCAGAGACCCUGACUUAAGUGCUCUACGAAUUCAACUAGAUCCCCGGAGCUGUGGCAGCCAUGUUACAACCAUGAGGGAAGACCAGAAAUUUUGCAGACAAUCACCUUGACAUCACUGUGCUAAUGAAUCAAACCCAGCAGCUGCCUACCUCUGGACUUCUUGUUUUGGGAAAAAAAUACAACUUAUUUGCU